rnacentral:lncRNA from 1 species
UUUCUCUAACUCCCUUUUUUCUCCCUAUAAUCAAAUUCUUUUCUUUUUCUUACCUUGUUCCCUCCUUUUUUUUCUAUCUAUUUUUAGUCUCCUGCUCUCUUUUUUCAUCCAUCCAUCUUUCUUCCCUCACUUUGUCAAUCACUAUUCUGUGUUUUGCCAUACUCUUUCUUUUGCUUGGACACUCCCUCUUCUGUCGUUAACAUCAUCAUCUCUUUCUGUCACAUUCUUUUCCCAUUUCCUUCUAUCUCUUUCUUACCCUCUCCUCUCUUUCCUCCUUCUCUCCCUUUGUCCUUUUUUCCUGUUUUCAUUUCUGUUUUAUUUCUAAUUUGUUGCUCACUCUAUCACAUGUGUUUGUUCUUUUUUCUUUUUUUCUUUGUUACUCUUUCUAGGUCACAUAUUUGCUGUUUUUAGGUUUCUUCAUGUUUCUUCACACUCCUCACUUGCUUCUAUAUAUCUCUUUUCUCUUUCUGUUUGUUCCUUCUUUUUCCUCUCUUCGUCCUAUUCUGCCUUCUUCUGUCACUCAGCCUCUCAUCCUUUUCUGUCUCACUCUCUUCCUAUUUUUAUUUGUAUCUUUUGCUUACUAUCUCCCUCUUUUCUCCCUAUCUCUCUAUCCCUCAUUCUUCUGUACCUCUCUCUCCCUGUCUCUCCUAUUUUUCUUUGUUUUCUAUAAUUUACUUCUCAUUCUACCACAUUUUCUUGUUCUCUUCUUUUUUUUUUACCUCUGUUUCUCUCUCGCUCUUUCUAGGUUGCUUAUUUCCCCUCUCUAUAUUUCUUUCUUUUCUCAGUCUCUACAUGCUUCUAUCUAUCUCUUUGCUUUCUAUUUAUGUCAUUCAUUUGUUCCUAUUUCCUCUCUUCUUUCUAUCCUGCCUUCUUCUGUCACUCAGCCUCUCAUCCUUUUCUGUCUCACUCUCUUCCUAUUUUUAUUUUUAUCUUUUGCUCACUCUUUCCCUGUUUUCUCCCUAUCUCUCUAUCCCUCAUUCUUCUGUACCUCUAUCCCUUAUUUUUCUCUGUUUUCUGUACUUGUUUGCUCACGUUAUCACAUUUUCUUGUUCUCUUUUCUUUUUUCCUCUUUUACUCUCUCGCUCUUUCUAGUCGCCUAUUUGCCCUCUCUAUGUUUCUUUCUUUUGUCAGUCUUUACUUGCUUCUAUCUAUCUCUUUUAUAUUCUUUCUAUUCUUUUUUCUCUCACUCUCUUACUAUUUUUAUAAUUCUUUUGCUCGCUCUCUCACUCUCUCCUCCCUAUCUCUCUAUCCUUCAUUCUUCUGUAUCUGUAUCUCUUUCUUUUCUAUUUUUUCUCUGUCAUUCUUUCGCUCUCUCUCUCUCUCUCUCUCUCUCUCUCUCUCUCUCUCCUCCUCCUCCUCCUCUGUCUCUGAGCGUGUUAUGCUGGGUUCAGUAGCGGGUCAGUAGGU